rnacentral:rRNA from 1 species
UGGGGAAUCUUGGACAAUGGGCGCAAGCCUGAUCCAGCCAUGCCGCGUGAGUGAAGAAGGCCUUCGGGUUGUAAAGCUCUUUUUACCAGGGACGAUAAUGACGGUACCUGGAGAAUAAGCCCCGGCAAACUUCGUGCCAGCAGCCGCGGUAAUACGAAGGGGGCUAGCGUUGUUCGGAAUUACUGGGCGUAAAGCGCACGUAGGCGGAUUGUUAAGUCAGAGGUGAAAUCCCGGAGCUCAACUUCGGAACUGCCUUUGAUACUGGCAAUCUAGAGUCCGGAAGAGGUUAGUGGAAUUCCCAGUGUAGAGGUGAAAUUCGUAGAUAUUGGGAAGAACACCAGUGGCGAAGGCGGCUAACUGGUCCGGUACUGACGCUGAGGUGCGAAAGCGUGGGGAGCAAACAGGAUUAGAUACCCGUGUAGUCCCUGAGCGGGCUGGCAAGGCGCAU